rnacentral:rRNA from 1 species
UACGAAGGGGGGCUAGCGUUGUUCGGAUUUACUGGGCGUAAAGCGCACGUAGGCGGAUUGUUAAGUCAGGGGUGAAAUCCCAGAGCUCAACUCUGGAACUGCCUUUGAUACUGGCAAUCUCGAGUCCGGAAGAGGUGAGUGGAACUCCUAGUGUAGAGGUGGAAUUCGUAGAUAUUCGCAAGAACACCAGUGGCGAAGGCGCUCACUGGCCCGGUACUGACGCUGAGGUGCGAAAGCGUGGGGAGCAAACAGG